UUGAUCAACACUACUCAUAUUAUCAUAUAGAGGACAGAGUAGGCAAAUGGUUUAGGACACUAUUGCUAAACAUAAAGCCAAGCCUCCAGGUGUUGUGUGUAUCAAUCAGCCCACUGGAGAUAUAUCAAUCUUUUAAUAAAUUAUAAGGUCUCCACUGCUUGAUACUUCACCAAAUACUGGCUACACCAGAAGAUUACUAAAUGUUCUUAACACUUAAUAACUACCACAAGCAUUACUUCUGGGUCACUCUGAA